rnacentral:snoRNA from 1 species
AAGACUAUACUUCACAGGAUCAUUUCUGUAGUCAGUCUUCAUAUAUUUCUAUCGCAAGAUAGUAAUAACUCAAACCGCGAUGAAGAGUUAAAUCGUUUUACCUUGAGCGUGAGGUUAUGAACUUUGUGUUCUGAUUUGCUCCAUUUGGUGCAAAUUGGGGACAAUGUUUCUUCGAUGAUCGCUUAUGCCCUGUGCCCUAAGGGUAAAACGAUUUCAGAGUGGU